UACGAAGGGGGCUAGCGUUACUCGGAAUUACUGGGCGUAAAGGGCGCGUAGGCGGCGCACCAAGUUAGGCGUGAAAGUCCUGGGCUCAACCUGGGAACUGCGCUUGAUACUGGUGUGCUUGAGGAUGGAAGAGGGUUGUGGAAUUCCCAGUGUAGAGGUGAAAUUCGUAGAUAUUGGGAAGAACACCGGUGGCGAAGGCGGCAACCUGGUCCAUUACUGACGCUGAGGCGCGACAGCGUGGGGAGCAAACAGG
rnacentral:rRNA from 2 species